rnacentral:misc_RNA from 1 species
AAGUCGUAGCAAGGUUUCCGUAGGUGAACCUGCGGAAGGAUCAUUAAUGAAAUGCACCCUCGGGGGGUUGUGCUGGCGCUCCGGCGCAACGUGCACGCCCCCUCUGGCGUUCAGACCCCUUCACACCUGUGCACGAACCCGUCGGACGGGAGUGGUGCCUUGCGUGCCCUCCGGUCUGGCCCUUCACAUCAGCUUAUUAUUGUAUGUCGAAUGCAUCACUGCGCACGCGCAACCGAAAUACAA